AGGAGAGGAGCGUUUUCAACCUUCAGCAUCCAAGUUGGGGAACAAUAAAUAAUUCAUUCAUCUUCUUGUAGAUUCAUGAAAAAUGAAGUGUUAAUCAAUGGCUAUUGUAUAUUGGCGUCUUUUAAACGUUGAAUAGACACUUCCAUUGUUCUUGAGAAAAGGCUUCAACUUCUUGUUUACACUUUGAAGCUAAAUGGGUGGUUUUAGACCGGAAAGUUCGUCGGAAACUCGACAGGAAAUCGCAUACUCUUAACUAUCGCAAGGGUUUUCCUUUUUUCUUGAGUAUCAAGAUCUUGUUACUUUUAUCCCGUGAUAGAGAGGUAAUUGAUAAUCAAACUUCGUAAAUUCUUUAGCAUCAUUUUCCUGCUAAUUUUCUUGAUCGUUUGGGUUUCAUUUCAUAGAUUUGGUCUGAAGAACUAACUUCAUACUUUUACUCUCUUUUAUUUAUUCAUGCAAAUUCUAAGAUUUCCUUCCUUUACUUGGAAAGUUGAAAAAAAAUAAAACAAGAUGGGAUUUUUACUAAGUUUUAUUAGCUCCAUAUAUAUGUGUGCUAGCUUCUAUGAUUGUUUGUGAAGUUUCUUGAAGUUCAUGAAGUGGAUCCGGUUAUGGGUUUCACAGUUGUUCAGAUUUUUUGGGAACUGGAAUAGUAAAACUAUUGGACUAAAUUUAGGGUUUCCGUGUGAGAUUUUUUGCUCUUGUAAAAUCUGCAUACUCGAGCUACAGUAUUGCUAUUUAGCAUAGCAAUUUCGUGUUCUUUUGUAAGUUUUCCAGUGUUGGCCCAAUGUUUUUUCCCCUUCGGUGAAAAGUUUUGCUAAUUUCUUUGUAGAAUGCAUGUUUUGAACAGUGAAUGACAGUCUAUUUACUGUAGUUUGUGGAAGUUUUCUGAGGUGGGUUAUGGUAACAUGCUGUUUAGGUCUAUGACUACAAGAAAUCUCUCCCUCUCUCUAGCUUUCAACACAACUUAUUGAGAAAUAAUUAAAUAUUGAGGGCUUGAGCUACUCCUCUCAUAACAAGGUUUUCAUUUUAUGAUGGAACUAAAGUCUUAAUAUAGGUAUAAUCACAUGAAUUCCGGUUCAUUUUAAUGUAUUUUCUCAUUUUGUGGCGUGUGUUGUGUGAAUUAUCGUGUUAUCCACGGGUUUUGCUUCUGCAGUUGUUGAUGAUAAACUUUGUUUUUCCCAUUUUCUUUUGUUUCAUUUAUCUUCUUUUAAAGGAUUGAAAUCACUGUUGCAAUGCUUUCUUCUACAUAAACGCUAAUAUAUUGACUGGCGUGUAAUUGGACUAUUAGGCAAUGGAGAUGAGUAAUUUUGAUCCUGAAC
rnacentral:lncRNA from 1 species